UGCCGAUGAGUUGCUGCCACCUACUGGUAACCAGGCAAAUCAUAUGAACAAUUACUUUUAACAUGGUUUUGUAUGCACAUUUGAGGAAGACAUAAUGUAAAUUACAUCAGAUGACAGUAUAAAGGCUCUUAGAAGAUAAGGAUAGUAGCGGGACA